CCCGGUAGAAGCAAAACCGGAUGUUCGCCAGUUCCAACUCUCAGUUUCAGUCAUGAAUGUAUGCAAUCUGGGAGCGAGCUAAUUUUUCAUUUUUCGUCCAAACAUUGCAAUAAGGUUAUGUACUACAGUACAACUGUUAUAACAAAGCUCGUUCGUUGCAUACAACUUUGGUGAACAGGUGAAAAAAAACAGAAGAAGAAAAAACGAGGCAAUAAUAAAUAAUAAAGUGAGAGCGAAUGGAAUAUGCGUAAGAAUAAGCUGCUUUACUUGGUGCAUUUUGAGACGAAUAAAAUGGAUUUAUAUUUUGUGCCAUUCCGAAUCGAAAGAC